UACGUAGGGAGCAAGCGUUGUCCGGAAUCAUUGGGCGUAAAGCGCGCGUAGGCGGCCUCAUAAGUCCGUUGUGAAAGUCAAAGGCUCAACCUUUGAAAGCCGAUGGAUACUGUGAGGCUAGAGUCCGGAAGAGGCGAGUGGAAUUCCUGGUGUAGCGGUGAAAUGCGCAGAUAUCGGGAGGAACACCGGUGGCGAAGGCGGUUCUCUGGGCCUUACCUGACGCUGAGGAGCGAAAGCGUGGGGAGCGAACAGG
rnacentral:rRNA from 1 species